CCAGACAGAGUUAUAAGGUUCCAAAAUUAUUGUUAAGUGAAAAUAAGGUAGUGUUUAUCUAAGCCAACCAGGAAAUGGGCUUAGGAGCGGCCAUUUUUUAAAGACCUCGUAACUGAGCACUGGUUUUAUACAAUUUUGUAUUGUAUUGUUAGAUGCACCUAAAAUUUAACGGAUCUAAAUAAUAUACCGAGACCUUGUCCAUAAAUAUUUAUAUGUACAAGUUACAUAGAAUAUAUAUGGGGUAGCGGAACAUUGGGCAUAUUUCAGAUUUUUUCUUUUUAAGACUUAAGAUUAGAUUACCCAAGUGAUAAUGCUGACAUGAGUAACGAUAAAGGGUUUAUACCCUCGCCUAAAGCUUAUGGAAUUUACUUAAAGUAACGGCCUCUUAGUUUAAAUUUGCUUUACUUUACUGGGUUUUUUAGCUCUAAUUAAAAACGUGAUAAAGUAAAGUUACCUAAUGGUAUAAACGAUGAGAAAAAAAUUUUUUUUCUUUUUGAUAGAAAAAAAAGGAAAAAAUCUAAGUUUUACGGUGAAUAAGAAUGGAUACUUAUGGAAACACAUUGAACGCGUAAAGUUGAAAAGUGUGUUUAAGUUUCUCUAAAGAAAAAAAAAUAUUUAGUAGGUUUGACUAAACACACUAUAUAAAUAAAAACAGCAUUUGUGUUAGUAUGCUAGAGCUAGGGUACCUGUUAAAAUAGUAACUGAAAGUAAGGCGCUAGUUACUAACUAAAGUGACAAAUGCUCUGGAAAAACGUAAAACUACAUGAAUUAGAGUAUAGACGAGGCGGAUCGUCCCUUGUCUAUUAUUUUUUUUUUAGUUUCCCAAAAAAAAAAUAAAAAAAUACC
rnacentral:rRNA from 1 species